rnacentral:rRNA from 1 species
UACAGAGGGUGCGAGCGUUGUCCGGAAUCACUGGGCGUAAAGGGCGCGUAGGUGGCGGGAUAAGUGUGUGGUGAAAGCUCGGGGCUCAACCCCGAGUCUGCCAUGCAGACUGUCUUGCUUGAGCGUAGUAGAGGCAGGUGGAAUUCCGGGUGUAGCGGUGGAAUGCGUAGAGAUCCGGAAGAACAUCGGUGGCGAAGGCGGCCUGCUGGGCUACUGCUGACACUGAGGCGCGACAGCGUGGGGAGCAAACAGG